rnacentral:rRNA from 1 species
AGUUGAAGCUAGUGUAAGAACUAGUGGAGGACUGAACCCAUAGGCGUUGAAAAGCCCCGGGAUGACUUGUGGAUAGGGGUGAAAGGCCAAUCAAACUUCGUGAUAGCUGGUUCUCUCCGAAAUAUAUUUAGGUAUAGCGUUGUGUCGUAAUAUAAGGGGGUAGAGCACUGAAUGGGCUAGGGCAUACACCAAUGUACCAAACCCUAUCAAACUCCGAAUACCUUAUAUGUAAUCACAGCAGUCAGGCGGCGAGUGAUAAAAUCCGUCGUCAAGAGGGAAACAACCCAGACUACCAGCUAAGGUCCCUAAAUCUUACUUAAGUGGAAAACGAUGUGAAGUUACUUAAACAACCAGGAGGUUGGCUUAGAAGCAGCCAUCCUUUAAAGAAAGCGUAAUAGCUCACUGGUCUAGUGAUUUUGCGCGGAAAAUAUAACGGGGCUAAAGUAAGUACCGAAGCUGUAGACUUGCGCACAACUUAGAUUAUUUAAGUUUAGAAUAUGAGAAACUAAGUUAUAUGUUUAGUUAUAUUUUUACUGAUUUUUAUAGAGUAAAGAUAGAAAUAAAACUUAGUAAAAUCAGUAAAAAUAUUCUUAGACUAAAGUUAAGUAGUUUAAGUUGUGUGCAAGUGGUAGGAGAGCGUUCUAUUUGCGUCGAAGGUAUACCGGUAAGGAGUGCUGGAGCGAAUAGAAGUGAGCAUGCAGGCAUGAGUAGCGAUAAUUAAUGUGAGAAUCAUUAACGCCGUAAACCCAAGGUUUCCUACGCGAUGCUCGUCAUCGUAGGGUUAGUCGGGUCCUAAGUCGAGUCCGAAAGGGGUAGACGAUGGCAAAUUGGUUAAUAUUCCAAUACCAACAUUAGUGUGCGAUGGAAGGACGCUUAGGGCUAAGGGGGCUAGCGGAUGGAAGUGCUAGUCUAAGGUCGUAGGAGGUUAUACAGGCAAAUCCGUAUAACAAUACUCCGAGAACUGAAAGGCUUUUUGAAGUCUUCGGAUGGAUAGAAGAACCCCUGAUGCCGUCGAGCCAAGAAAAGUUUCUAAGUUUAGCUAAUGUUGCCCGUACCGUAAACCGACACAGGUGGGUGGGAUGAGUAUUCUAAGGCGCGUGGAAGAACUCUCUUUAAGGAACUCUGCAAAAUAGCACCGUAUCUUCGGUAUAAGGUGUGGUUCGCUUCGUAUUAGGAUUUACUCCGAAAGCGAAGAAACUUACAACAAAGAGUCCCUCCCGACUGUUUACCAAAAACACAGCACUCUGCUAACUCGUAAGAGGAUGUAUAGGGUGUGACGCCUGCCCGGUGCUCGAAGGUUAAUUGAUGGGGUUAGCAUUAGCGAAGCUCUUGAUCGAAGCCCGAGUAAACGGCGGCCGUAACUAUAACGGUCCUAAGGUAGCGAAAUUCCUUGUCGGUUAAAUACCGACCUGCAUGAAUGGCGUAACGAGAUGGGAGCUGUCUCAAAGAGGGAUCCAGUGAAAUUGUAGUGGAGGUGAAAAUUCCUCCUACCCGCGGCAAGACGGAAAGACCCCGUGGACCUUUACUACAGCUUGACACUGCUAUUUGGAUAAGAAUGUGCAGGAUAGGUGGGAGGCUUUGAGUAUAUGACGCCAGUUGUAUAUGAGCCAUUGUUGAGAUACCACUCUUUCUUAUUUGGGUAGCUAACCAGCUUGAGUUAUCCUCAAGUGGGACAAUGUCUGGUGGGUAGUUUGACUGGGGCGGUCGCCUCCCAAAUAAUAACGGAGGCUUACAAAGGUUGGCUCAGAACGGUUGGAAAUCGUUCGUAGAGUAUAAAGGUAUAAGCCAGCUUAACUGCAAGACAUACAAGUCAAGCAGAGACGAAAGUCGGUCUUAGUGAUCCGGUGGUUCUGUGUGGAAGGGCCAUCGCUCAAAGGAUAAAAGGUACCCCGGGGAUAACAGGCUGAUCUCCCCCAAGAGCUCACAUCGACGGGGAGGUUUGGCACCUCGAUGUCGGCUCAUCGCAUCCUGGGGCUGGAGCAGGUCCCAAGGGUAUGGCUGUUCGCCAUUUAAAGCGGUACGCGAGCUGGGUUCAGAACGUCGUGAGACAGUUCGGUCCCUAUCUGCCGUGGGCGUAAGAAGAUUGAAGAGAUUUGACCCUAGUACGAGAGGACCGGGUUGAACAAACCACUGGUGUAGCUGUUGUUCUGCCAAGAGCAUCGCAGCGUAGCUAAGUUUGGAAAGGAUAAACGCUGAAAGCAUCUAAGCGUGAAGCCAACUCUAAGAUGAAUCUUCUCUAAGCUCUCUAGAAGACUACUAGUUUGAUAGGCUGGGUGUGUAAUGGAUGAAAGUCCUUUAGCUGACCAGUACUAAUAGAGCGUUUGGCUUAUCUUU